GGACAAGGACGGCCCAUGUGCUGGGAGAGGGACAGGGAGGAAGCUCUCCCUUCCUGGUGGCCCGGCCCUGAGUAGGGGUCAGUGAGGGGUCUUUAACUGACUCCCAGGCCCCUCUCCAAGCCCCUCUAUGAGCAGAGAGGCUGAUGCCCUUUCUGCUUUUCCACAACUGAGAUCUCACCUCCACAGAGGGACCUCCACCCCUCCCCAUCCCUGCUUCCCCAGAGUUACUGCCUACAUCCCACUGGCCUCAGUUUGGGCAUCUGAGAAAAGGGAACCUCACUCAGCACUCCUAGAGAAGAUGCUCAAUGAAUCUAGAGAACAUUUUUGAAACUUUUACAUGUGGACAUCUCCUAGAGAAACUUCAGAACACGAGACACGAAAAGGAAAUCGCAGAAGAACCCGGAGAGGAACGGAAGUGUACUGCUCGAGAACGUUUGGAUUAACAGGAUGCUUCUCAACAGCGACGAGAGUGGCCCAAAACAACAGGAAACGUCCUCAAAGUGCUGAGAGGACACAGGCGUCCAGCUAGAAUUUUCACCCAGCUAAGGGGUUACUCGAGAGUGAGCGUGAAACAGGCGUUUCAGAAGGGCUGAGAGCACUGUCCUUUGCUGGAACCCCCCUCAGAGGGGACCUGAGGCAGAAGGAGGGGAGCCCCAGGAGGAGGAGCAGCAAACAGGGGUGAAACGUGGGGACGCAGUGCAAUACAUACUGACAGUGAUCAUUAGUUGUAUCAAGAAUGAAGAUUUCGGUGAUGACAAAAUAGAACUAAAAUAGUAGAUGAUAAUGCCGUGUAACAUGAAAACCGUAGAGACCGGAGUGAACGCAUUCAAAGGUGACUGUGGGAUUCAAGAGAAUGGUAGAGAUCAACCAAGUCUGACUUUCAGUCAAGUAUGCGUGCUAAAAAUUAAGAGCAAGCGUUAAAAGAAUAGAUUGGAUUGAAUCAAAUGGAGAUGCUGAUGUCUGACCAGUUUCGACCAACAUAACGGCAAUUUCACGUGGUUCAGCCUAAUACACUGUGUAACUUCCAGACGAACAAAGGUAAAGCGGAGACCACUCCGCCAUACCAAAGGCAGGCAGGAAAGGCAGUGGAGGAGAGGAGCCAGGAGAGCCAUAUGUGCCCCCAAAAGGCGACGAUAGAAGCUGGAGAGGAAACUCUGCAAUUAAAACACAAACUCUAGGAUUAGUGGAAUUUGACGGCAUGAGUUAGUGUCAGAGACAGAAGGGCGAGUGGAAAAGCAGGGCGCCCAGGACAUACACAGGUUGAUACCAUCCAUGCAAAACUUAAAGCACGGAGACGAGACCAGGCACUGUGUCUGGGGACACGAAAACUGUGUGCACCUGCCCGGGACCAAAACACAGCUGCACGAUGGUGACUGAAAAUUGAAAACAAAAUUAUAGAAGAAUGAGAGGACCAGCUAAUGGAAAAAUGAGCGAAAGACUUGAGCAGACGCUUUAUGAACGAGACACCCGGACGGCCAAGACAACUAGGCAGCGUCAGUCACUGCCCUCAGUGAGCAGGAAAAUGAGCACACGCCUCGAAUGAGCUCCCCGGUGCCAGGCUUCACUCCUCUGGCUCCUACUGUUUCUCUUUCCUUGCUGGCGAUUUCCUCAUGCUGAGGCAGCGCGGGGAGGAGGUCCCAUCUGGGGAACACGGAAGCCAGAAUCUGUGCCCCCCUCCCAGGGCUAGAAGCCACAGGUGCCCCGACAAGCCUUGCAGUGGUGUCCUGCAAGGAAAAACCGCUCCUUAUUGGACCCAGAGGCAGAGCUGGCUGUGGCUCGGGUGUCUGUCCAGGUCUGGAAGUCAGGACUGUGCCCCCAGCAGCAGGAAAUCCUCCAGCUCCCUGGGUGGGAGAUCCGGCAGCCUGAGUCCACGGCAUGUCCUGCUCCUGCAGAAGCGGCUGGUUCUAGCCAGAGGACUGGUCCUAGACCGAGCUCUGCUCCAGACGAGGACCUGGUAGCGCGUGUCCACCUGGCUCCACACUAUGAGAUGGUUCUUGCUCAUGGUCUGAGCCAGCCAGCUCCAAAACACGCCGGAAUUUCUAAGGGAGAAGCAGCGCAUGGGAAAAGGCAAAGGAGCAGGGGCUUGUUUAGCAAAGGGUUGGGGGGGAGGCAUGGGGGCCUCCAGGAUGCCUCAGGGGAGCCCCAUGAUGCCCAAGGGAGAGUCGGAGCUGGGGUGAGA
ensembl:lncRNA